rnacentral:rRNA from 1 species
AUUGAACGCUGGCGGCAGGCUUAACACAUGCAAGUCGAGCGGGGUGAUGGUGCUUGCACUAUCACUUAGCGGCGGACGGGUGAGUAAUGCUUAGGAAUCUGCCUAUUAGUGGGGGACAACAUCUCGAAAGGGAUGCUAAUACCGCAUACGUCCUACGGGAGAAAGCAGGGGAUCACUUGUGACCUUGCGCUAAUAGAUGAGCCUAAGUCGGAUUAGCUAGUUGGUGGGGUAAAGGCCUACCAAGGCGACGAUCUGUAGCGGGUCUGAGAGGAUGAUCCGCCACACUGGGACUGAGACACGGCCCAGACUCCUUCGGGAGGCAGCAGUGGGGAAUAUUGGACAAUUGGGGGAACCCUGAUCCAGCCAUGCCGCGUGUGUGAAGAAGGCCUUAUGGUUUUAAAGCACUUUAAGCGAGGAGGAGGCUCUUUUGGUUAAUACCCAAGAUGAGUGGACGUUACUCGCAGAAUAAGCACCGGCUAACUCUGUGCCAGCCGCCGCGGUAA